CGCACACACACAUAUAUAUUCUCGAAUUCUGCAGACAUGAAUUGUAUAUAAUGUAUGAAUUACCAUUAAGAUGCAUAUUUACAAGAUUUCUGUAAAUCAUGUGAAUAUAUAUGAACAAGAUUUCUUUAAAAAAAUAAAAAAAAUAAAAAGACAAAACAAGACCAUAUAUAAAGUAUAAGGCCAAAACAAAGACCAUCCAAUAAGGACAAACAACAGCGCAAGGAUUUAACCCACCCAAAACUUUUGAAAAUCAAUCCGUUGGCACCAGAGUCAUCUUCUCCGGUGAAGAGCCGGCAACACACAGCUAAGCAUUUGCUAGCUAGCUUAACGAAUCGAGUCUGGUGGCGGAGGUGGUGGUCGGAUGGAGGAAGAAGGGAGGUCCCAAAGAUUACGGGCACGCCGAGCAGCCAUGCCGUCUUUGAGUGAAAAGGGGAGGAGUCUUUCCCUUACUGGAGUGGGGGUUUUCAGCAGAACUGAGCUCUGUGAAUUGGAUAUACCUUUGAAGACUCUUGAAUUUCUUUCUGCCCAAAAUUUGAUAGAUUGUUGAUGGCAUUUGCAAUGUUCUUGGAUGUCCAAUGAUGUGAAGCCAGAUUGGAGAGGUGACCAAUUUGAAUGUGUGACCAGAUUGGAGAGGUGAAGGAACCGGGAGAAGAAAAGAUGGUUCAAUGAUUAGCAGUAUGUUUGUAGAACAUGGAUUAGUGAUCAAGGGUGGGUAGUUUGUUGAGUACAGCCAGCCAAAGAAUGACUCUGUGUCUUGGUAUGGACAUUGAAUUCCAGACCAGUUGGUACCAUAAGCAGGGGGGAAGGUGUAGUAAUUGAGUCAAUAUGGUGUGUCUUAGUGAGAACUUGACAUUUGGGGAGGGCUUCCAGGUGAAUGAAUCAAUACCCAAGUCAGGUGGAGAGAGCAAUUGUGGAUUGGGGAGCAGAUUUAGUAUAUUCUCUGGAAAAAUCCUGGAAUUUGCUGACAACCAAGUGUUCAUCUUGGCAUUGAAGGGAGUUCCACUGGCUUUAAUCUGUUCAUGUGUGAACCUGCAGCACAGGGGGUCAUCUUCCAGUCAGUUGUGAUGCUAGAAUGAGAUGUAUUCUCCAUUUCCCUUCUUUGCCUCAGUCAGCUUCUUUAAGACUGGUCUGAGUUGCAAAAGGUUCCUCCAAUUUGUAUGACAAUUUUUGAGAUGGCUGAGCAUGGGGACCCGAUUCACCCACUGGUGAAUGAGGAAGAAGAAUUGGGUGAUAUUUUUGGAGGGCUUGGGAAUCUGGAAAAUCUACCAAAUAUUGAUAACGUGGGACUUGCAGAUGCAAUGCCAAUUUUGGUGGCACUAAAUGACGAAAAUUUGGAGAAUUUCCCCUAUUUUUUUGAUUUUGGAGAUAACUUCCCCGAUGAAGUUCAGCUGGAAUUUUCCUAGCUUUCUUGGGGGUUUAAUUUAUUGAUACUAACUUAUACACAAUAGGAGGAAUACUCGAGCUGAAGCAUCAACAAACAAUUUGGCCCUUUUAAAGCAGCCUAUUCAACAACCUUGAGUGGUACUUCAUUUUUUAACUAUUAGUAUACAGGUAAUGCAGUUAGAGCUAUGCACUCUGUUAAUUUGGAUAAUUGAACAAAUUUGUAUACAUGUGGUUAUUAUGAGUCCCUGCACUUCAUGAUGAGCUGCUGGGCUGAGAGGAAAGACCAUUUAACAAACAGGUUGAAAGAGAAUGAUUCAUUCUGUAGUCUUUAGUAUUCUGUCCUUUUAACUUGUAAGGAUUUUCAAAAUAGAAGUGAAGAACUGAAGAUAGGUAAAUGAUGAUGGAGCUACACCGAAAAUCUUGCACCAUGACAUUUAAUUUAGUAGCUGAAUUUAAGUG